UGAGGAACCAUUGUUAUAUAACAUUAAGUAAUUUUUAUGUAUCUUUUUUUCUUUAUAUUAUUAAAAAAUUGGGAAUUUGUAAUGUCAUUACUUCUUUGUGAGAAAUAUCAUCCAAUCAUGUGAAAGUGUUAGAAUUUAUUUAUUAUUCCUAAUUGCAGAACAUAGAUGGUACAUAAAAGAUAUAUUUUUUUUUCCCUUGAUUUAUUCACCCUUAAUAGUCCAAGGAGUCAUCUUCUAAUACCUGA
rnacentral:misc_RNA from 1 species